UACGGGGGGGAGCAAGCGUUGUUCGGAUUUACUGGGCGUAAAGGGCGCGUAGGCGGCGUGACAAGUCACUUGUGAAAUCUCCGGGCUUAACUCGGAACGGUCAAGUGAUACUGUCGUGCUAGAGUACAGAAGGGGCAACUGGAAUUCUCGGUGUAGCGGUGAAAAUGCGUAGAUAUCGAGAGGAACACCUGCGGCGAAGGCGGGUUGCUGGGCUGAUACUGACGCUGAGGCGCGAAAGCCAGGGGAGCGAACGGGG
rnacentral:rRNA from 1 species